UACGUAGGUGGCAAGCGUUGUCCGGAUUUACUGGGCGUAAAGCGAACGCAGGCGGACCUUUAAGUAGGAAGUGAAAGGUUGGAGCUCAACUCUAACACUGCUCCCUAUACUGGAGGUCUUGAGUAGCGGAGAGGAAAACGGAACAAGUUGUGUAGCGGUGAAAUGCGUUGAUAUAACUUGGAACACCAAUGGCGAAAGUAGUUUUCUGGACGCAGACUGACGCUCAUGUUCGAAAGCCAAGGUAGCAAACAGG
rnacentral:rRNA from 1 species